AAUUAUAUUUGGCGACAGCCGAAGACAGCAGGGGCAAUAGCUUAAUCAUCCUGCCUAGGUUGAUGCGAAUUACAGAUCAAACAUAAGGUCUGUCUCAAGAUUAACUAACUAUAGUAAAAAUCUACCGCGAUACAUCAACCUAAUGCCGUGCAAAUUGUAGCAAGGCUUUUUUUAUUGUCUG
rfam:Cyanobacterium aponinum PCC 10605, complete genome.